GACGUAGGUGGCGAACGUUAUCCGGAAUUAUUGGGCGUAAAGGGUGCGUAGAUGGCCUGAUAAGUUAACAGUGGUAAAUCGAGGCUCAACCUCGUGGAAACUGAUAAUACUGUCUGGCUCGAGUACAGAAGAGGUUAACGGAAUUCCAUGUGGAGCGGUAAAAUGCAUAGAUAUAUGGAAGAACACCAAUAACGGCGAAGGCAGUUAACUAUUCUGUUACUGACAUUGAGGCACGAAAGCGUGGGGAGCAAAAGGG
rnacentral:rRNA from 1 species